UACGUAGGGGGCAAGCGUUAUCCGGAUUUACUGGGUGUAAAGGGAGCGCAGACGGCAGUGCAAGUCUGAAGUGAAAACCCGAGGCUCAACCACGGGAUUGCUUUGGAAACUGUACAGCUAGAGUGUCGGAGGGGUAAGCGGAAUUCCUAGUGUAGCGGUGAAAUGCGUAGAUAUUAGGAGGAACACCGGUGGCGAAGGCGGCUUACUGGACGAUAACUGACGUUGAGGCUCGAAAGCGUGGGGAGCAAACAGG
rnacentral:rRNA from 1 species